rnacentral:rRNA from 1 species
UACGAAGGGGGCGAGCGUUGUUCGGAUUUACUGGGCGUAAAGGGCGCGUAGGCGGCCCUCCUAGUCGCGUGUGAAAGCCCCGGGCUCAACCUGGGAAUGGCAAUGGAAACUGGCGGGCUAGAGUGUGGCAGAGGGGGGUGGAAUUCCGCGUGUAGCAGUGAAAUGCGUAGAGAUGCGGAGGAACACCGAUGGCGAAGGCAGCCCCCUGGGCUAGCACUGACGCUCAGGCACGAAAGCGUGGGGAGCAAACAGG